rnacentral:rRNA from 1 species
UCGAACGAGAAUGUGGGCUUCGGCCCACUAGUAAAGUGGCGGACGGGUGCGUAACACGUGGGUAAUCUACCUUCCGGCGGGGGACAACAGUCCGAAAGGAUUGCUAAUACCGCAUACGUCAGCGGCGCCUACGGGCGCUGUUGGGAAAGAUGGCCUCUCCUUGGAAGCUAUCACCGGAAGAUGAACCCGCGGCCCAUCAGCUAGUUGGUGAGGUAAUGGCUCACCAAGGCUAAGACGGGUAGCUGGUCUGAGAGGAUGAUCAGCCACACUGGGACUGCGACACGGCCCAGACUCCUACGGGAGGCAGCAGUGGGGAAUAUUGGGCAAUGGGCGAAAGCCUGACCCGGCCACGCCGCGUGAGUGAUGAAGGCCUUCGGGUCGUAAAGCUCUGUGGGGAGGGACGAACAAAUCUGGGGCUAAUCACCCGGGUCCUGACGGUACCUCCUUAGCAAGCACCGGCUAACCCUGUGCCAGCAGCCGCGGUAAUACAGGGGGUGCAAACGUUGCUCGGAAUCAUUGGGCGUAAAGCGCACGUAGGCGGUUCGUUAUGUCGGAUGUGAAAGCCCUUGGCUUAACCGAGGAAGUGCAUCCGAAACUGGCGAGCUAGAGUACGAAAGAGGAUCGCGGAAUUCCCGGUGUAGAGGUGAAAUUCGUAGAUAUCGGGAGGAACACCGGUGGCGAAGGCGGCGAUCUGGGUCGAUACUGACGCUGAGGUGCGAAAGCGUGGGGAGCA